UACAGAGGGGGCAAGCGUUGUUCGGAAUUACUGGGCGUAAAGGGCGCGUAGGCGGCCCGCUAAGUCGAACGUGAAAUCCCCAGGCUCAACCUGGGAACUGCGUCCGAUACUGGCAGGCUUGAAUCCGGGAGAGGGAUGUGGAAUUCCAGGUGUAGCGGUGAAAUGCGUAGAUAUCUGGAGGAACACCGGUGGCGAAGGCGGCAUCCUGGACCGGUAUUGACGCUGAGGCGCGAAAGCUAGGAGAGCGAACGGG
rnacentral:rRNA from 1 species